GGGGAAUAUUGCGCAAUGGGGGAAACCCUGACGCAGCAACGCCGCGUGGGUGAUGAAGGUCUUCGGAUUGUAAAGCCCUGUCUUUUGGGACGAUAAUGACGGUACCAAAGGAGGAAGCCACGGCUAACUACGUGCCAGCAGCCGCGGUAAUACGUAGGUGGCAAGCGUUGUCCGGAUUUACUGGGCGUAAAGGGUGCGUAGGUGGAUAUUUAAGUCAGAUGUGAAAUCCCCGGGCUUAACCUGGGAAGUGCAUUUGAAACUGGAUAUCUUGAGUGCAGGAGAGGUAAGUGGAAUUCCUAGUGUAGCGGUGAAAUGCGUAGAUAUUAGGAAGAACACCAGUGGCGAAGGCGACUUACUGGACUGUAACUGACACUGAGGCACGAAAGCGUGGGUAGCAAACAGGAUUAGAUACCCUGGUAGUCCACGCUGUAAACGAUGAGUACUAGGUGUAGGGGGUAUCGAUCCCUUCUGUGCCGCAGUUAACACAAUAAGUACUCCGCCUGGGAAGUACGAUCGCAAGAUUAAAACUC
rnacentral:rRNA from 1 species